CGAAAUGCAUCUGUCCAGCCCCGGUGAUGAAAUGUGCUAUUUAUGAAACGUCACCAUGAAGACAAUCAUGUGUAUAACUCAUGGGCAUAUCUUUGGUUAUUAUUUUUAAUGAUGACUUUCGUACAAACAUUUUCAAGCUCCGGCUAAUGGUAUGAAAAUGCAGGGGCUUAUAAUCUGAAUCACCACUGGGAUCUGGCCAAUCACUGAACCUUAUAUUCUAUCACUCGGUUUUGUUUGAAGCACUGCCAGUAGCCAAGCUGGAUGUAAAAAUAGCCCAUGAGUGCCUGCCUGUUACUUGACACUGCAUGGUUAUUCCAAUACGUAUGUUUGCUUCUUCCUCACCAUUCUCCACACUUGGUUUCUCCUUGCCUAAGAUAUAUUUAAGUGUGUUUUACUGACUUUGGAUUUCUUGUUCAGUUCCUUUUACCUAUUUGAGCAGAUCUUGGCAGAGAAAGGUUUGCCUCCUUCAAUUUUUACAAUCACAGCUCUCUUUCAUAUUCAAAAGAAAGAGCCCACCAAGGAUAUGAAUUACAGGAAGUGUCAUUGUUAAGCAAACUACGGAGAAAUUGAAUGUGUUGGGAAAUUGGAUUGGCUGAAGGCACCACCACGUUCUUCUAUCUCUGAUUUUGAAAAAGCUGGACAGCAAAGCCUUUUCUUUAGUUUCUAUGUCAUGUGAUUCCUUGACACCCCUGGAGGUGAGGUUGGAGCUGUCUUACGGCCAAGACUGAAAGAAUCUACAGAACAUAAUGAAAUAUGUAGGUUGGAAAGAUUUCCCAAAAUAAUUUCCAUUCAUCCUUACUGAUGAGCCUCAAAGGGGCAAUCAGAAUAUGAGAAGAUCAAAACUGAGGCUUCCAUAGUAUCU